rnacentral:sRNA from 1 species
CUUUAGCCCAGAUUGCAGUGCAAAGCCCGGAAUUUAUAAAAGGUAAUUUUCUUGACAAAAAAGAGCGACCAGCGGAAGCUCCUUUUAUGACUUAGAAAAUACUUUUUAGAAUUGAGGACUUGCAACGUAAAGCUGGAAUAGCU